UGCGCUUUCACAAGGCUUGAAAGACUACUGCAAAGGCUUUCACAGCAACUGCUACUCUCGCUAAUUUGCUUUGGUUAUUCGAGAGUUUGAAUUUUGCUGAAAACAUGUUUGUGGCGGAGGCGGCUGUGUCUUCCAUCUUUGAUCUAGUCCUUGAGAAGUUGGUGGCUGCCCCUUUGUUGGAGUAUGCACGCAGGCAGAAUGUUGAGGCCACCCUCCAAGAAUGGAGGACGACUUUGUUGCAUAUUGAAGCUGUGCUGACUGAUGCUGAGCAGAAGCAGACAAGGGAGAUAGCUGUUAAGCUUUGGUUGGAUGAUCUCAAAUCUUUGGCUUACGACAUGGAAGAUGUUCUGGACGAGUUCAACACUGAAGCUAAUCUGCAGAUCCUGAUGCAUGGACCCCAAGCUAGCACCAGUAAGGUACACAAGCUCAUCCCAACUUGUUUUGCUGCUUGUCAUCCUACAUCUGUGAAAUUUAAUGCAAAGAUUGGGGAAAAGAUAGAGAAAAUUACAAGGGAGUUGGAUGCUGUUGCAAAACGAAAACAUGACUUUGAUUUAAUGAAGGGUGUUGGAGGGUUGUCGUUUGAGAUGGAAGAAAGGUUACAAACCACUUCCUUGGUAGAUGAGUCUAGCAUUUAUGGUAGGGAUGCUAAGAAGGAGGCUAUCAUUCAAUUUCUCUUAUCCGAGAAAGCCUCCAGGGAUAAUGGUGAUAAUGGAGUUUCUGUAGUUCCCAUCGUAGGUAUGGGUGGGGUUGGUAAAACAACCCUGGCUCAAAUUAUCUACCAUGAUAAGAGGGUGGAGAGCCACUUUGAUACCAGGAUUUGGGUUUGUGUAUCGGAUCGAUUUGAUGUGACAGGGAUAACCAAAGCAAUUCUAGAGUCCGUCACUCACAGUUCAACUGAUUCUAAGAACUUAGAAUCAUUACAAAAUAGCCUGAAGGAUGGAUUGAAUGGGAAAAGAUUCUUCCUCGUUCUAGAUGAUGUGUGGAACGAGAAGCCCCAAAACUGGGAUGCCUUAAAGGCUCCUUUUAGGGCUGGUGCACAAGGCAGUAUGAUCAUAGUAACAACUCGUAAUGAAGAUGUUGCAUCGAUUAUGCGCACUACUGCCUCUUCUCAUCACCUUGACGUGCUAUCCUAUGAAGAGUGUCGGCUAUUAUUUGCAAAACACGCCUUUGCACAUAUGAAUACAAACAUCCGCCAAAAGUUGGAACCAAUUGGUGAGAAGAUAGUAAGAAAAUGCAGAGGCUUGCCUUUGGCUGCAAAGUCGCUUGGAAGUCUAUUACACACUAAACAAGAUGAAAAUGCUUGGAAUGAAGUACUGAAUAAUGGCAUAUGGGAUUUUCAAAUUGAACAAAGUGACAUUCUUCCGGCUUUAUACUUGAGUUACCAUUAUCUUCCAACAAAUUUGAAACGAUGUUUUGCAUAUUGCUCCAUAUUCCCCAAGGACUAUAAAUUUGAAAAAAGGAACUUAGUGCUGUUAUGGAUGGCCGAAGGCUUAUUAGGUGGCUCCAAAAGAGAGGAAACUAUAGAAGAUUAUGGUAACAUGUGUUUUGACAAUCUACUUUCAAGAUCUUUCUUCCAACAAGCUAGUGAUGAUGAAUCAAUAUUUUUGAUGCAUGAUUUGAUCCAUGAUUUAGCACAAUUUGUAUCGGGAAAAUUCUGCUCUUCGUUGGAUGAUGAAAAGAAAAGUCAAAUUUCCAAACAGACUCGACAUUCUUCUUACGUUAGGGCAGUGCGAUUUGAACUCUCCAAGAAAUUUGAUCCAUUUUAUGAAGCUCAUAAUUUGCGGACCUUUCUUCCUGUACAGACAGGUUAUCAAGAUGAUCGUAUCUUUUUAAGCAAGGAGAUCUCAGAUCUUUUAUUGCCAACACUGAAAUGCUUACGGGUUCUCUCUUUAGCUCAUUAUCAUAUUGUGGAGUUGCCUCACUCAAUUGGAACUUUGAAACACCUACGCUACUUAGAUCUUUCUCGUACUUCAAUUAGAAGGCUCCCUGAAUCAAUAACCAACCUUUUCAACUUGCAGACAUUGAUGUUGUCAAAUUGUCAUUCUCUUACUCAUUUGCCCACAAAAAUGGGGAAACUAAUCAACUUGCGUCAUCUUGAUAUUAGUGACACUAGCUUAAAGGAGAUGCCAAUGGGAAUGAAAGGGUUGAAACGUCUUCGAACAUUGACUGCUUUUGUUAUUGGUGAGGAUAGAGGGGCAAAAAUUAAAGAGUUGAGGGACAUGUCACACCUUGGUGGCAGACUUUGCAUUUCCAAGUUGCAGAAUGUGGUGGAUGCUAUGGAUGUCUUAGAGGCUAAUUUGAAAGGUAAGAAGCAUCUUGAUGGGUUAGUGAUGCAGUGGGAUGCCAAUGCUACUGCUCGUGAUUUGCAAAAGGAAACAACUGUGCUUGAAAAGCUACAACCUCAUAACAAUUUGAAAGAGCUGACCAUCGAGUACUAUUGCGGUGAAAAAUUUCCUGACUGGUUGGGCGAAUAUUCAUUUACUAAUAUGGUGUCCAUGAAACUCCACAAUUGUAAAAAUUGCUCAUCCCUGUCAUCGCUAGGGCAACUAGGAUCUCUCAAGGAGCUCUCUAUUAUGGGGAUUGAUGGAGUGCAGAAGGUGGGACAAGAGUUCUAUGGGAAUAUUGGGUCUUCUUUGUUUAAGCCAUUUGGAUCCCUAGAGAUUCUGAGGUUUGAAGAGAUGUUAGAGUGGGAGGAAUGGGUUUGUCGUGAAAUUGAAUUCCCUUGUUUGAAGGAGCUUUAUAUCAAGAAAUGUCCAAAGCUGAAAAAGGAUUUACCGAAACACCUUCCUAAAUUAACAAAACUUAAGAUUAGAAAAUGCAAGCAGCUGGUGUGUUGUCUUCCAAUGGCUCCCUCCAUUCGUGAAUUGAGUUGAAGGAAUGUGAUGAUGUGGUGGUUAGGAGUGCGGGCAGUCUCACCUCAUUGGCUUCCUUGUAUAUAAACAAUGUUUGUAAAAUACCAGAUGAAUUAGGACAACUGAAUUCUCUUGUAAAGUUGUCUGUGUAUCAUUGUCCCGAGCUAAAGGAAAUGCCACCCAUUCUUCACAACUUGACAUCUCUUAAACACUUGGAGAUCUGGUUCUGUGACAGUCUUUUGUCUUGUUCGGAGAUGGGGCUACCACCAAUGCUUGAAAGGCUUGAAAUUGUUCAGUGUCCCAUUCUGAAGUCCCUAUCAGAGGGAAUGAUACAAAAUAAUACUACUCUCCAACAAUUGUCCAUCUGGUACUGUAAAAAAUUGGAGUUAUCAUUGCCUGAGGAUAUGACGCACAACCACUACGCUUCCCUUACCCAAUUCAGCGUAACUGCUAGUUGUGAUUCUCUCACGUCCUUUCCAUUAGCCUCCUUCACAAAGCUUGAGCAUCUUCGUGUCGAACAUUGUGGAAAUCUGGAGUCCCUUUACAUUCCAGAUGGACUUCACCACGUGGAUCUCACAUCUCUCCGGUCAUUGAACAUAUAUUAUUGCCCUAAUCUGGUAUCUUUUCCACGAGGAAGAUUGCCCACUCCCAAUUUAAGACGGCUUGGGAUAUAUAACUGCGAAAAGCUUGAGUCACUGCCCCAAGGGAUGCACACCCUCCUUACAUCCCUUCAAGAUUUGGAUAUAUCUAAUUGUCCAGAAAUUGAUUCAUUUCCAGAAGGGGGUUUGCCCACUAAUUUAUCUAGCCUUUACAUUGUGAAUUGCAACAAACUCUUGGCUUCUCGGAUGGAGUGGGGCUUACAAACGCUUCCCUUUCUUAGAACGUUGCUGAUUGCAGGAUAUGAGAAAGAAAGAUUUCCUGAGGAGCGAUUUCUGCCCUCCACUCUCACCUCCUUAAAAUUAGUGGUUUUCCAAAUUUGAAAUCCCUGGACAAUAAGGGGCUUCAGCAUCUUACCUCUCUUGAAACUCUGGAGAUUUCGAAAUGUGAAAAGCUCAAGUCCUUCCCAAAACAGGGGCUGCCCUCCUCCCUUUCUUGUCUUAAAAUUGAUGACUGUCCUCUGCUGAGGAAACGAUGCCAAAGGGAUAAAGGGAAAGAAUGGCCCAACAUUUCUCACAUCCCCUACAUAGUGUUCGACUUAUACGAUACGAAAAAUGAGGAGGUGAUCUUAUCAUGAGGCCCUUGCAUCGAAGCUCUUGCUCUCCUCUGCAUUUAUUGGCCCAGGAAUUGCAACAAACUCGUGGCCAAUCGGAUGGAGUGGGGCUUGCAAACGCUUCCCUUUCUUAGAACGUUGGGGAUUGAGGGAUGUGAGAAAGAAAGAUUUCCGAGGAGCGAUUUCUGCCCUCCACUCUCACCUCCCUUGAAAUUAGGGGUUUUCCAAAUCUGAAAUUCCUGGACAAUAAGGGGCUUCAGCACCUCACCUCUCUUAAAACUCUGGAGAUUUGGAAAUGUGGAAACCUCAAGUCCUUCCCAAAACAGGGGCUGCCCUCCUCCCUUUCUCAUCUUGAUAUUGAUGACUGUCCUCUGCUGAGGAAACGAUGCCAAAGGGAUAAAGGGAAAGAAUGGCCCAAGAUUUCUCACAUCCCCUGCAUAACAUACGAUUGGGAAGAUGAGGUGAUUUUAUCAUGAAGGCCUUCGAUCCAAGAUCUUGUUCUUCUCUGCGUUUAUUAGCCUAGGAGCAUCUACUAUCAUCUUAUUGAUGAAGGUUGUCCACCAGAAUUGUCAGUUUACUCGAUUCACUACUUGGUUUUUGCAAGCAUAUCAAAAUGUAGGGAACAAGUGGAAAAAUCUACGUGGUAAAGCCCAUGUAGACAAAUCAUUCCUUCCCAGACAUUACGAUUUAGAUUCUUCAGAUAUGUCAAAGGAUUCAACAAAUGUAUUCAUAGAUUCUAAUUAGCUAUGCGUCUAAAGCGUCCGACUAAUAUCAUUGGUAGAGAAAGAUUGUGCACUUUUUGAUAUCUGCAUGUAUGAUGCCACAAAGGGAGCAAAAUUUUCCUACCCGAUGAAGGACAUGUGGGCAUAUCAUCCAUAAGAGAAUGUUUUGAAAAAGUUCAGAUAGAAUGGAGUGUUUUGGAAAAUGUAUUAGCAGCUGCAAGGUACCUUGCCCUCAAUUAGGAUUGAUGGUCGUACUUGAAUGUGGAUUCAAAUGCUCUGAAUCUCAUAAUGCAUUUCUGAUCACUGCUACCAGUCCAGAAUCCUGAAGGCAAUGUCAUUGCAUUGAUUCCAUGAUCUUGCUCCAAACAAAAGUUUAGUACUCUGCUUAAGGAUUGCCAUUGUGGCUGCUCCAUUCCUUGAAAGUUUCUUCUAUAUGUGUUAGCUGUUUAAACAUGUCUCCCACUUCAUGUUAUUCUGCUUCUACACCGGGCAUCAUUGAAGCAUUUUAAAAAGGGUACUGUACUUGUACCUGCAUAACUACCACAGGAGGGAUAUUUGAAGGAGACACCAUUGGAGCAUGUCAAGGUGCAUUCUACUGAUGUCAACCAUAAAUGAUAGGUCCUAAACAUUGGGAAUUUCAAUGCAAUAAAAAGGUCUUGGACAUGCCAUUCUAUAUAGGAAGAGCUUAAUCAGGUAUGCAGACUGAUUCUCCUCUUGGUUAUUAGGUUUAGUAGCUUGAAUUCAAGUAUUCAAACCUAUUCCUGCCAUCUUCUUAUACUCUUCUGUUUCCCUAAAUCAUUUGUAAGUAAUUUUUAUAAUAUUUUAUUUAUUGAAUCUAUGUUUGGAAAAACUUCUUAAAUGCUAAAAACAAGAUUUGAAGGUCAAAUUCAACUUUUGAUGACAUUAGAUAGAAUUAUUAAACUAGACCUUACACUUUCUCAGUAUAAUUUACCUAAAAAUACAAACAUCUUUAUUUUUCCUUUAAUAAAAGUUCAAUUAAAUCUUUUACACCCUCAUCUUUAAUAAAAGUAUUAAAAUUAUAAUCAUCAAACAUAAUAUCUACUUUUGCUAAAUGCUUUGAAUUUAAUAAUAUGGGAAUGACCAUCCUACCUCAUUUGUUUGGUUAUUGAGGAUUACAGUCUAUAAAAAUUCAAUCUACAUUGUUUUAGUGAAGUACUGUAAAUCUGUAUCAUGUGGUUACCCUUACACCUAGAUUCCCAUUCAUGCUAUGAAGAGUUUGGAAGAGGUAUUUAUGUUGCAUAAGCAAGAUCAAAAUGUCUCUUUCACUUUCACUAUCAAAAUAUCCUUUUCUUUUAGGUAUGUGUUCUACUUUCGGAAAAAAUAUUUUGUUUUGCCUUAUACUGAGAAUUCACACAAUGAAUUUCAAUUGGAGAUAACCUUAUUUGUAUCCUAUUUCUAGGCAUGUCCUCCUUAUCUAUAUCCAAUUUCUAGGAAUGUCACACCUAUAUGGUGGAUUCAAAUGAUUUGAACCUCAUAAUGUGAAGGCAACUUGUCCUAUGCUAUUGUUGGUGUUUUGACCACUGAAGAUUGCCGUCCUAGGAGUUUGAGUCGCUGCUAGCAGUCAAGAAUCCUUUAGACAAAUGCAUGCAUUUACAUUUAUUCCAUGAUCUUGCUCCAAAUAAAAGUUUUUCUACUCAUCUGCAGAAGGAUUGUAAUUGUGAGUGCUCCAUUCUUUGGAAGGUAGCACUACUUGUCAAGAGUUGUAGCUCAUGUGAUUUGGUGUUCUGUUUAUUAAUUUACACUUCGGUUGAUAUAAUAUUUGGUUGUCACUCAUUAAUUUGGUUGACAUAAUCUAGGUAGAAAUUCUACCUAGUUUUUUUGUUAUGGCAUUUCAUUUCUAUUAUUUAGUACUGAAGAUCAUAUGAUGUUACUAGCUUUAUUUUGCAUUGACCCGCUUUUCUAUAAAAUGCUUGAGUUUUCUUUACUACUAUUAAAUACAAGCAAUUGUGAAAAACUAUAGGUUGUCUCUUUUAAGGUAGAAGAGAUUUAUUUUGAUGUCCUACAACCUAUUUUCAUUUCUUACUUCUAUAAAUGUAAACUAUAUUAUUUCUUAAUCUUUAAUAGUACAAAUGAAACAUAAAUGUUAAUAUUGGCAAAGCAUUCUCCACGUGUUGCACUAGAUUCAGUAGUUAUGUAAAAGGCUGAAAGAUGAUGACCUAUCCAAGAGAAAAUACUGAACUAUUAGAAUUAUCAAUAUAUCUUUUCUUAUAUUAGGCUGCUAUAUCUUUAAAGUAUGGUUCAGAGGUUAUCGUAUGCAUUAUGUUUCACUGGUUUCCAUUUUGAUGGUCAAGAUAAUUAGGAUAGGGCUGAAACAUUGUUUCCCAUUAUUAUGCAUUUUGGUAAUCUCUUCUCUCAACAAAAUUACUUCUUUCAUUUCAACAAUACUGCUCAGAUCCUUUAUCAAUUUCACUUUUACUUUGAAUAGUCUUUUUUCCUGUUAGUUUGUCUAUUUUCCUCCAAAUUGGUUUUAGACUGUUAGCAUGAAAUUAAAGAGUAACAUAAACUCCAAUUGAACAAAUUUGUUUACCUUCAAUGAAGCAUUCAACUGUUUAUUGGUGGAUAAAAAAUAUUUAACUG